AGGACUUCAAGGGUGUCGCCCCUCCUGCGCUGUCGCCCCCCCUGGGCCCCUGUGCCCUGGGCCCCCGGUACUGGUGCUCCGGCCCCGAGCCCGCCCGGCGCUGCCAGGCCCUGCAGCACUGCCAGGAGCACGUCUGGCUGUAGGGGGGCACUGGGGGCCCCCUCAGCACUUCCCAAUAAAGCUUGGAUGCAGUUCUG